AACUUUGUAUCAUAGAGUUAGUAGAACAACUCUAGAGGAAAAGCUGGGCCGGAAAAGUGGGAACCUCUAGGGCGCCGCCCUGUUGCUACUGGUCAAUGUGGCCAGCGCAAUUACUAUUGAAAAAGCUGAGAACAAGUACAGUUCACCUUAUGCUUUGUCAUCUAAAAACGCAUACCUGAUGGCUUUAUGAAGGCGGUACGUUAAUAUUAAGUUUACAGAAAGCGAUCGCUAAGUCCGUGACUUAUGAAAAUCACGAUGUACGCAUUCAUGCAAUAAAAGAUGACGCGAAUUUCGGUUUCGAAUCUGUUUUUUGGAUGCGUAGUAGUUUCGUUUAGGUUUGACAUGCGAUCGCGCGUCGACAUCGGACGCUAUGGCACACUUGUGCCUUAUGUGCCACCGAAGCCCCGAAGUGGUCUGGCAUAUACCUUCACAUACAAUGCCUACGCCUAGCCACAGCAGCUCCCUCAUACAGACUCCGCAAGCCAAGAGGCCGUGGAGGCAAAUGCAGGCAGCCAGCACACCUCGAACAGCCACCAUGACUGCGGGUGUGUCACCCUAGUCGCCAAGUAAACAUUUGAGGGAAAGUGAGAGGCAAUGUGAACAGCCACUUCUCCAUGUAAACAAUACUCUUUCUCUCGGAUGACUCCUACGCCUCGCCACGCCAGCACACUUGUGCACAAAGAUGCCGCAGAGGCACGUGCAGGUCAGAGGCAAGAAGCAGUGGCACUGGUGUCGACAUUUACCCAAUUUCUUUUUCUUACACUGAGGCAGCCAGCACACCUCAAACAGCCACCUUGACUGCAGGUGUGUUAGUAGAUUCCUGUUGUACAUAUGCUCGUAAUUAACUUCAGUAAACUUGAACUUCAUAAUAAACUUGAAGGCAAACGGGACAUUGAUGCAUUGUAUUUUUGAACAUUUAUUGUACACAUACAAUACAUGUUAUACUUUGCAGUGCUACAGAGCGUAUUUUGAAGCUUCCCCCUAUAUUUUGCAUCUUUAAUUACGUAUGUGUUGUGUGGCCCUCAAUGCAGUUCAAGUUGUAGCAGCUGCUUUGUCUGUGUAUCGCACAUUGGCUUAAGCUCGUGAUAUCCAUACUUCUCUCACAUAUACAAAAUAAAGUUCUAUGUAGUCCUCAGUGUUACAACAAAAAAUGAAAGUAAACAAUCCGAUCGUGGAAUUGUGUUUAUUACAGUGAUUCCUACGACAGUUACUGACAAGUUGACAACUUGAACUGGUCAAUCGGUCCAUAGCCUCCUCUAUUUUUCAAAAAUAAAGGAGGCUAUAAUCCGUCAUGGCAAGGAAUUGUAUGUAUACAUAAAAAAGGGGGUAUGUGUGUGUUUGUAGUGGGGGUAUAGAAUUAGGGCGGUAAGAAAAAAUGUACCAACACCGUCCUCUAGACCCAUUCCGUUAAGGUACCGUAACAAAGCGUAUUAUGCAUAAAGCUCAUACAACCAACUCUGAUAUUACUACAGACGCCAGGCGACGCGAACUACAUUUGUCAUGAUGCAUUCACGACUGCACCGGAUGCCCUCCACACUAUUCUCGUUAAUCGUGCUCACUGCGCCGAGGCAAAAGAAAGAUCAUGGGCGCAGGUGCCUUUAAAGUAUCUCAACCUUGCGAGGCACGGCUGCGCGUGCCAGGGGAGCUGUCCGUGCGAACACUCCCUGGCACACACCUGCCUCGGCGGCCCCAACCUACGUACCGUUCUGCUUCGAGCUUUGAUCCCCCCACUGUCCCUCGGGUGCCCUGGAGUUCCUGCGCCGCCUGCUCUACUAUCAUCUCAGGUGCUCUCCUGAGACUUCCGUUUGUCGGUUACAUGUGCCCUACAGCUGGAUCAUUACUUAUAAUAAUGAAAAACCCGAUCUAUCGUCACGACGAUAGAUCGCGAAAGCGGCUUUUGCAACAUACCGCGCCCGUGCGAAGAGAAUUACGGAACGCCAACGAGGAAUCUGACCACAGCUUCGAGCUCGUAACGUCGUCGAGUGACACUCCUGCAACAGGCGUGACCGCUGAAAACCGCAUACCGCCGGAAACUUGAACAGGAUCAUCCCUCGGUUGCAUAACUGCCAGCUGUACGGCCAACGUGGACCACACCCACACCGUCCCGCAACAUAGAAUAAAGAACCAACUUAUAAAGCCCAAACACACGGCUGCACGCACACAUCACAACACUACAAGCGAGA